rnacentral:rRNA from 2 species
GGGGAAUAUUGCGCAAUGGGGGAAACCCUGACGCAGCGACGCCGUGUGAGGGAAGAAGGCUUUCGGGUCGUAAACCUCUGUCAGAAAGGAAGAACCUCCCAAGUCCGAAUAGGGCUUGGGACUGACGGUACUUUCAAAGGAAGCACCGGCUAACUCCGUGCCAGCAGCCGCGGUAAUACGGAGGGUGCAAGCGUUAAUCGGAAUCACUGGGCGUAAAGCGCGCGUAGGCCGCUUUGUAAAUCGGACGUGAAAGCCCUCGGCGCAACCGGGGAACUGCGUGAGAUACUGCGAGGCUUGAGUCGUGGAGAGGGUGGCGGAAUUCCGGGUGUAGGAGUGAAAUCCGUAGAUAUCCGGAAGAACACCGGUGGCGAAGGCGGCAACCUGGACAGGUACUGACGCUGAGGCGCGAAAGCGUGGGGAUCGAACA